rfam:Dichanthelium oligosanthes cultivar Kellogg 1175 unplaced genomic scaffold Do_version_2_scaffold14601, whole genome shotgun sequence.
UUUGUUUGUCUUGAGUUAAACUUAUCCGAAUUUGACCAAGUUUAUAAAAAAUAUAACAACAACUAUACUACCAAAUAUAUGUACUAUCAAAAUGUAUUCCAUUGUCGAUUUUCAAUAAAAAAAUUUUGGUUUUUGUAGAUGUUGUUAGAUUUUUCUAUAAACUUGGUCAAAGUUGGACAAGUUUGACUCAGGACAAACCAAA